UACGGGAGGCAGCAGUGGGGAAUAUUGCACAAUGGGCGCAAGCCUGAUGCAGCCAUGCCGCGUGUAUGAAGAAGGCCUUCGGGUUGUAAAGUACUUUCAGUCGUGAGGAAGGUGUUAAGGUUAAUAACCUUAGCAAUUGACGUUAGCGACAGAAGAAGCACCGGCUAACUCCGUGCCAGCAGCCGCGGUAAUACGGAGGGUGCGAGCGUUAAUCGGAAUUACUGGGCGUAAAGGGCACGCAGGCGGUUAAUUAAGUUGGAUGUGAAAUCCCCGGGCUUAACCUGGGAAUGGCAUUCAAGACUGGUUAGCUAGAGUCUUGUAGAGGGGGUAGAAUUCCAUGUGUAGCGGUGAAAUGCGUAGAGAUGUGGAGGAAUACCGGUGGCGAAGGCGGCCCCUGGGACAAAGGGACUGACGCUCGAUGUGCGAAAGCGUGGGGAGCAAACAGGGAUUAGAUACCCG
rnacentral:rRNA from 1 species